AGGUCUUGGGGCUAGGGGAAGGUUUAAGGUUUUUGGCGUUAGGGUUAAAAUCACUGUCCAAAACCUUUGUAGGAACUCUUUUCCAACCUUUUGGAGUUAGUUAGACCAAAUAAUAAUGAAAAAUGAAAAAAAAAUAUUUGGGGUAUUCGGGCUUCCUGAAGGUAAUACCCGGGUAUUAGGUUUUGGGGCUAGGGAAAGGUUUAAGGUUUUUGGCGUUAGGGUUAAAAUCACUGUCCAAAACCUUUUUAGGAACAUGUUUCAGACCUUUUGGAGUUAGUAAGACCAAAAAAUAACGAAAAAUGAAAAAAAUAAAUAUUUGGGGUGUUCGGGCUUCCUGAAGGUAAUACCCGGGUAUUAGGUUUUGGGGGUAGGGAAAGGUUUAAGGUUUUUGGCGUUAGGGAUAAAAUCACUGUCCAAAACCUUUGUAGGAACUCUUUUCCAACCUUUUGGAGAUGGUUUGACCAAAAAAAAAGAAAAAAGAAAAAAAAAAUAUUUGGGGUUUUCGGGCUUCCUGAAGGUAAUACCAGCGUAUUAGGUUUUGGGGCUAGGGUAAGGUUUAAGGUUUUUGGCGUUAGGGUUAAAAUCACUGUCCAAAACCUUUGUAGGAACUCUUUUCCAACCUUUUGGAGUUAGUUAGACCAAAAAAAAAAAAAAAAAAUGAAAAAAAAAUAUUUGGGGUUUUCGGGCUUCCUGAAGGUAUUAGGUUUUGGGGCUACGGGAAGGUUUAAGGUUUUUGGCGUAAGGGUUAAAAUCACUGUCCAAAACCUUUGUAGGAACUCUUUUCCAACAUUUUGGAGUUAGUUAGUCCAAAUAAUAAUGAAAAAUGAAAAAAAAAUAUUUGGGGUUUUCGGGAUUCUUGAAGGUAUUAGGUUUUGGGGCUACGGGAAGGUUUAAGGUUUUUGGCGUUGGGGUUAAAAUCACUGUCCAAAACCUUUGUAGGAACUCUUUUCCAACCUUUUGGAGUAAGUUUCACCGAAAAAAAACAAUGAAAAAUGAAAAAAAAAUAUUUGGGGUUUUCGGGCUUCCUGAAGGUAUUACCCGGGUAUUAGGUUUUGGGGCUAGGGGAAGGUUUAAGGUUUUUGGCGUUAGGGUUAAAAUCACUGUCCAAAACCUUUGUAGGAACUCUUUUCCAACAUUUUGGAGUUAAUUAGACCAAAUAAUAAUGAAAAAUGAAAAAAAAAAAAUUGGGGUUUUCGGGAUUCCUGAAGGUAAUACCCGCGUAUUAGGUUUUGGGGCUAGGGGAAGGUUUAAGGUUUUUGGCGUUAGGGUUAAAAUCACUGUCCAAAACCUUUGUAGGAACUCUUUUCCAACCUUUUGGAGUUAGUUAGACCAAAAAAAAAAAAAAAAAGAAAAAAAAUAUUUGGGGUUUUCGGGCUUCCUGAAGGUAAUACCCGGGUAUUUGGUUUUGGGGCUAGGGUAAGGUUUAACGUUUUUGGCGUUAGGGUUAAAAUCACUGUCCAAAACCUUUGUAGGAACUCUUUUCCAACCUUUUGGAGUUAGUUAGACCAAUAAAAAAUGAAAAAUGAAGAAAAAAUAUUUGGGGUUUUCGGGCUUCCUGAAGGUAUUAGGUUUUGGGGCUAGGGGAAGGUUUAAGGUUUUUGGUGUUAGGGUUAAAAUCACUGUCCAAAACCUUUGUAGGAACUCUUUCCCAAUAUUUUGGAGUUAGUUAGACCAAAUAAUAAUGAAAAAUGCAAAAAAAAUAUUUGGGGUUUUCGGGCUUCGUGAAGGUAAUACCCGCGUAUUUGGUUUUGGGGCUAGGGUAAGGUUUAAUGUUUUUGGCGUUGGGGUUAAAAUCACUGUCCAAAACCUUUGUAGGAACUCUUUUCCAACCUUUUGGAGUAAGUUAGACCAAAAAAAAAAAGAAAAGAAAAAAAAAUAUUUGGGGUUUUCGGGCUUCCUGAAGGUAAUACCAGGUUAUUAGGUUAUGGGGCUAGGGUAAGGUUUAAGGUUUUUGGCGUUAGGGUUAAAAUCACUGUCCAAAACCUUUUAAGGAACUCUUUUCAGACCUUUUGGAGUAAGUUAGACCAAAAAAUAAAAAAGAAAAGAAAAAAAAAUAUUUGGGGUUUUCGGGCUUCCUGAAGGUAAUACCCGGGUAUUAGGUUUUGGGGCUAGGGAAAGGUUUAAGGUUUUUGGCGUUAGGGUUAAAAUCACUGUCCAAAACCUUUUUAGGAACAUGUUUCAGACCUUUUGGAGUUAGUAAGACCAAAAAAUAACGAAAAAUGAAAAAAAAAAUAUUUGGGGUGUUCGGGCUUCCUGAAGGUAAUACCCGGGUAUUAGGUUUUGGGGCUAGGGAAAGGUUUAAGGUUUUUGGCGUUAGGGUUAAAAUCACUGUCCAAAACCUUUGUAGGAACUCUUUUCCAACCUUUUGGAGUUAGUUAGACCAAAUAAUAAUGAAAAAUGAAAAAAAAAAUAUUUGGGGUAUUCGGGCUUCCUGAAGGUAAUACCCGGGUAUUUGGUUUUCGGGCUAUGGUAAGGUUUAAGGUUUUUGGCGUUAGGGUCAAAAUCACUGUCCAAAACCUUUGUAGGAACUCUUUUCCAACCUUUUGGAGUUAGUUAAACCAAAAAAAAAAAAGAAAAAAGAAAAAAAAUAUUUUGGGUUUUUGGGAUUCCUGAAGGUAAUACCCACGUAUUAGGUUUUGGGGCUAGGGGAAGGUUUAAGGUUUUUGGCGUUAGGGUUAAAAUCACUGUCCAAAACUUUUGUAGGAACUCUUUUCCAACAUUUUGGAGGUAGUUAGACUAAAUGAUAAUGAAAAAUGCAGAAAAAAUAUUUGGGGUUUUCGGGCUUCCUGAAGGUAAUACCCGCGUAUUAGGUUUUGGGGCUACGGUAGGUUUAAGGUUUUUGGCGUUGGGCUUAAAAUCACUGUCCAAAACCUUUGUAGGAACUCUUUUCCAACCUUUUGGAGAUAGUUACACCAAAAAAAACAAAAAAAAAAUGAAAAAAAUAUAUUUGGGGUUUUCGGGCUUCUUGAAGGUAUUAGGCUUUGGGGCUACGGGAAGGUUUAAGGUUUUUGGCGUAAGGGUUAAAAUCACUGUCCAAAACCUUUGUAGGAACUCUUUUCCAACCUUUUGGAGUUAGUUACACCAAAUAAUAAUGAAAAAUGAAAAAAAAAUAUUUGGGGUUUUCGGGAUUCCUGUAAUACCCGGUAUUAGUUUAUGGGGCUAGGGUAAGGUUUAAGGUUUUUGGCGUUAGGGUUAAAAUCACUGUCCAAAACCUUUGUAGGAACUCUUUUCCAACCUUUUGGAGUUAGUUAGACCAAAAAAAAAUGAAAAAUGAAAAAAAAAUAUUUGGGGUUUUCGGGCUUCCUGAAGGUAAUACCCGGGUAUUAGGUUUUGGGGCUAGGGGAAGGUUUAAGGUUUUUGGCGUUAGGGUUAAAAUCACUGUCCAAAACCUUUGUAGGAACUCUUUUCCAACCUUUUGGAGUUAGUUAGACCAAAAAAAAUGAAAAAAUGAAAAAAAAAAAUUUGGGGUUUUCGGGCUUCCUGAAGGUAAUACCCGGUAUUAGGUUUUGGGAAUAGGGUAAGGUUUAACGUUUUUGGCGUUAGGGUCAAAAUCACUGUCCAAAACCUUUGUAGGAACUCUUUUCCAACCUUUUGGAGUUAGUUACACCAAAAAAAAAAAAAUGAAAAAUGAAAAAGAAAUAUUUGGGGUAUUUGGGCUUCCUGAAGGUAAUACCCAUAUUAGGUUAUGGGGCUAUGGUAAGAUUUAAGGUUUUUGGCGUGAGGGCUAAAAUCACUGUCCAAAACCUUUGUAGGAACUCUUUUCCAACCUUUUGGAUUUAGUUACACCAAAAAAUAAUAAUGAAAAAUGAAAAAAAAAUAUUUGGGGUUUUCGGGCUUCCUGAAGGUAUUAGGUUUUGGGGCUAGGGGAAGGUUUAAGGUUUUUGGCGUUGGGGUUAAAAUCACUGUCCAAAACCUUUGUAGGAACUCUUUUCUAACCUUUUGGAGUUAGUUAGACCAAAAAAAAAAAAAGAAAAAAGAAGAAAAAUAUUUGGGGUUUUCCGGCUUCCUGAAGGUAUUACCCGGGUAUUAGGUUUUGGGGCUAGGUUAGGUUUAAGGUUUUUGGCGUUGGGGUAAAAUCACUGUCCAAAACCUUUGUAGGAACUCUUUUCCAACCUUUUGGAGUUAGUUAGACCAAAAAAUAAAGAAAAAUGAAAAAAAAAUAUUUGGGUUUUUCGGGCUUCCUGAAGGUAUUAGAUUUUGGGGCUAGGGUAAGGUUUAAGGUAUUUGGCGUUAGGGUUAAAAUCACUGUCCAAAACCUUUGUAGGAACUCUUUUCCAACAUUUUGGAGUUAGUUAGACCAAAAAAAAAAUGAAAAAUGAAAAAAAAAUACUCGGGGUAUUAGGGCUUCCUGAAGGUAAUACCCGGGUAUAAGGUUUUGGGGCUUGGGUAAGGUUUAAGGUUUUUGGCGUCAGGGUUAAAAUCACUGUCCAAAACCUUUGUAGGAACUCUUUUCGAACCUUUUGGUGUUAGUUAGACCCAAAAAAAAAAGAAGAAAAAAAAACAAUAUAUAUAUGUUGUGUUCGGGCUUCCUGAAGGUAAUAACCGGGUAUUUGGUUAUGGGGCUAGGGUAAGGUUUAAGGUUUUUGGCGUUAGGGUUAAAAUCACUGUCCAAAACCUUUUGAGGAACAUGUUUCAGACCUUUUGGAGUUGGUUACACCAAAAAACAAUUUAAAAUGAAAAAAGUAUAUUUGGGGUUUUCGGGCUUCCUGAAGGUAAUUCCCGGGUAUUAGGUUUUGGGGCUAGGGUAAGGUUUAAGGUUUUUGGCGUUAGGGUUAAAAUCACUGUCCAAAACCUUUGUAGGAACUCUUUUCCAACCUUUUGGAGUUAGUAACACCGAAAAAAAAAGAAAAAAGAAAAAAAUAUUUGGGGUUUUCGGGCUUCCUGAAGGUAUUAGGUUUUGGGGCUAGGGGAAGGUUUAAGGUUUUUGGCGUUGGGGUUAAAAUCACUGUCCAAAACCUUUGUAGGAACUCUUUUCCAACCUUUUGGAGUUAGUUAGACCAAAAAAAAAAAGAACAAAGAAAAAAAAUAUUUGGGGUUUUCGGGCUUCCUGAAGGUAAUACCCGGGUAAUAGGUAAUGGGGCUUUGGUAGGUUUAAGGUUUUCUGCGUUGGGGUUAAAAUCACUGUCCAAAACCUUUGUAGGAACUCUUUUCCAACCUUUUGGAGUUAGUUACACCAAAAAAACAAAAGAAAAAUGAAAAAAAAAUAUUUGGGGUUUCCGGGCUUCCUGAAG